rnacentral:lncRNA from 1 species
AGAGCCUGGCACCUCACUCCUGUCUGUGAGAUCCUCUCACACCGUGCGAUCUCUACACAUGCCAUCUCCUCUUCAUCUUCCACCGUGAGUGGAAACAGCCUGAGACUCUCACCAGAUGUAGGUGCUGAGGCCAUGCUUCCUGUACAGUCUGCUGAACUAUGAGCCAAACAAACCUCUUUUCUUUAUAAUUUACCCAGCCUCAGGUAUUCCUACACAGCAACACAAAACAGACUAACACAGAUAACUGUAAGUUUCAUCACUGUUGCUGAAUUUGCUUGGCUUAAGUCAUGAGAAGCCAGAAUCUGAAUGGCAGAGAGCUCAAAGUCAACAUGUAGUCAGAGUGGAUACAGUCAUUCACUGGAGGAAGAAGGGUUAAUGAAUAGAAGAAAAGCGUGACAAUGGUACAUCCUAGACAGACAACACUCCCUGGCAGCAUGGUGGGUUGGAUCUAUGAAUAAAAC